rnacentral:lncRNA from 1 species
GGACUCCUUCAUUCAUACAAGGGCGGCCACGUAUGGUUGGGCAGGUUGUGCACUGCACAAGAGGUCUGGCAGAGAGACUGGCUCUCCUUCCCAAAGCACACUGGGGGGGCGUCAUCCAUCUGUGGGAAGGGGCACUCCUUCCAAACACACACAAGGGUGCCAUCUGCCUGCUAAAUCACAGAUGCUGGGGAGCUGCACAGGGCCAAGGGGGGCCUUGGUCUCAUCUGCCCCACAUGGGCUAGUAGUGUGCAGGCUCGGUCCCUAUGCUGUGCCAAGCCUCUGGCAGGGCUCCAUCACAGAAUUUCUCCCUCUGCUGACAGAGUGCCGUGGUCCCCUCCAACUUCACACACAGGCGCAUUCCCAGGGAAAUUCCAACUCCUGGUCAUUGACAGCUCCAGGGAGUGGGGUAGGAGGAGCGGGGGCAUACACCCGCUCAGGUCCAGCAACACACACACACACACACACACACACACACACGGCCCCUGUGUCAGCGGGGGGCCAGAGCCUCCCACCCCUGUGUCCCACCUCUUGCCCUGCAGCACCUAUCCCUGCCGACACUGGGCCAGAUGCACGGAUACAGAGGACCAGCCUUCCUCGGCCUCACAGAACUCUGCACAGAUGCACAACAGAGCUUGUGUGCGUGGCAACACGGAACACAGGACACCCACGUGGUGGCCCGGACACAGCACACAGGGACACCCAGGAUCAUCCUGGUAGCACACCCAAGCCUCCUCCCAACACACGUGCAGUACAGCUCCCUGUGGACACACAGCCCUGCGUCUCUGGGCAUUCCCGCCCACAGCACCCAACAGUCAGACACAAUCUCAGACACCAUGACACCCUGGGACCACACACAGCUCCAGAACGCGGCCAGAGACCCGCCCCAGCCAGCUGCACCUGGACACGCUGCCCACCGCCUGUAGACUGUGGAUGCUUGUAUCCCAGCCAGACGGGCAGCCUCAUGGGUACACACACUAGUGCAAACCCCGCGGGGCGGAGCGUCUGGAAGCAGGCAUAUGACCCGAUGGCGGAGCGUCUGGAAGCAGGCAUAUGACCCUCCUUCAGAC